rnacentral:rRNA from 1 species
GACAGAGGGUGCAAACGUUGCUCGGAAUUACUGGGCGUAAAGCGCGUGUAGGUGGAUUGGUGUGUCAGAUGUGAAAGCCCUGGGCUCAACCCAGGAACUGCACCUGAAACUACCAGUCUUGAGUGGUGGAGAGGGAAGUGGAAUUCCUGGUGUAGAGGUGAAAUUCGUAGAUAUCAGGAGGAACACCAGUGGCGAAGGCGGCUUCCUGGACACUAACUGACGCUGAGACGCGAAAGCGUGGGGGAGCAAACAGG